rnacentral:rRNA from 1 species
GACGAACGCUGGCGGCGUGCCUAAUACAUGCAAGUAGAACGCUGAAGGGAGAGCUUGCUCUUCUGGAUGAGUUGCGAACGGGUGAGUAACGCGUAGGUAACCUGCCUGUAGCGGGGGAUAACUAUUGGAAACGAUAGCUAAUACCGCAUAACAUUGACUAUUGCAUGAUAGUCAAUUGAAAGGUGCAAUUGCACUACUACCAGAUGGACCUGCGUUGUAUUAGCUAGUUGGUGGGGUAACGGCUCACCAAGGCGACGAUACAUAGCCGACCUGAGAGGGUGAUCGGCCACACUGGGACUGAGACACGGCCCAGACUCCUACGGGAGGCAGCAGUAGGGAAUCUUCGGCAAUGGACGGGAAGUCUGACCGAGCAACGCCCGCGUGAGUGAAAGAAGGUUUUCGGAUCGUAAAAGCUUCUGUUGUAAAGAAGAAAG